UGGUGGUUACCUAUGACUCAGCCAAACCAUGCAUUUCAUUCUUUCUCUCUCCAGUCUCUCUCUGCACUCUCCUCUCUCUGUCAUCUGCUUUUAUUUCUACAUUCUAUUCAUUCCUCUUUUCUGUUCUCACUCUUCAUUUUCUGUCUUGUCUCUCUCUGAAUCUCUGAAUCUCUGUCUCCCCUCUUCUUUUCUCUCUUCUCCUGAUUCCUCCUGACCUUUGGGAGGUAUCUCUCUCUCUGUGUGUGUGUGUGUGUGUGUGUGUGUGUGUGUGUGUGUGUGUGUGUGUGUGUGUGUGUGUGUGUGUCUUUGUGUGUGUGUCUUUGUGUGUGUGUGUGUGUGUCUUUGUGUGUGUGUGUGUGUGUGUGUGUGUGUGUGUGUGUGUGUGUGUGUCUUUGUGAGAAGGAGUGUGUGGGAUGAUAACUGGCUUCCUUCAGAGUGAUUAAAACAUUCCUUCUCUUUUCUUCUUCCUCUCUCUUUCUCUGCCCUUCUUAGUUGUUAGUGAAGACUUUCUGAUGAAGAGGAGGAUGAAGACUGGUGAAACUGGCCUUUCUGAACUCAAGACAUCCAGCAUCACAACCGGAAGAUGGUCCAGAGCAUGUCCUUCCUGAUGACAUCAUGCAGGUCGUGAGCAAUGGCAAGCUACAAUUGGUCGGGCGCCUACAGGGAGUCUGUCAUGGAUCUCAACCAAGUCACGCCAAGAAUGGUAAAGGCGCAGGAUUGAGAAAUUGUUCUACCACAGGACUAUCAGGCUAGUUUCCACCACAAUCACCCAUCCUAACAGACGGUGGGAAACCACCUCAGCAAAGCUCAUCCGUUCAGAUGUUGCUGAGUCAGUUUUGGGGUCAUGUCAUCAUCAUCAUAAGAUGGGGAAGCUGGUGAGCAGUGACCACAGGCAGCAUCGGAAGAGGUGGUGCCUGUGUGUCGUGGUUUGCAGCUGCUGGUUCUUGGCAAAAAAAAAAGUGCUGUGGAGUUGCCUCAGGGAAUAAUUUGCUCAAAUGUUGAAAGGAAGAACAAAUUCAAGAGGUUUAAAAGGGCAGUAAGUGAGAUUUAUAUUGUCGCAUUGCACCAGAUGACCAUAAAACACCUGCAGGAGGUUGAUAGCGUUGUUAAUUGUCCAGGUGCUGAGGUUUUCUGGGUUUCCAAACUGUCUUUCCGGCUUGUGGGCUGUUUUGGAGCAAAAUUUCCACACCCAGAGUGAAGUCAUGCUGAUGUUGUUGAAAUGCCAGCUGGUUAUGAACACACAAAGAUGACUUACCCUCUGGAGUCCUGAGUAUUUUAUAUUUACAGUAACAUAACUUCAUUUAUAUUUCACAUAGAGGCGAGUUGAGAAAAACUGUUGAAGUGCCGGUGUCGGCUUUCACAAAGUACUUCAAUUAUCUCUGCAGACCAUAACACAUAUUUUAAAAAGGAAUUAUUUUAAAACACUGAAUUAUUAAUACUUUCAGUAAUUUACAGGCAUACAUUGUAAUUUAACAGACUGUACCAUAGUUGUAUUUCUUCUAUUUUUAUACAUAGUGAAACAAUAUUUUUCUUUUCAACCUACAAUCACUAAAGAUUUUUUUCUUGUAAUUUAGGUUCCUGGAAAAACGAUUAGACAAUGUUGCCAACUUUGGCGGCAAGGACAGUUUAAAAAGUUCUUAAAAAAAAAAAAAAAAAGACGAAGAUGAAUGCAUAAAUGUCAUUUUACCCUGCAGCAAAUAUCGUUUUGACAGCUGAUCUGGCAAAUCUUGAAUAACAACGGUGUGAGCUUACGUGUUCUUUUAUUGUUCACAAAGCCUCAUUUCUCUGUCAAGUUGUGUGGUUUAAAGCUCAUUAGUCUUUUUUUUUUUUAUUUACACAGGUACAUUUUUGACCUCCCAAUUUAACAUUUAGCUUCAUGUAACACUAAUGAAAAUUUUGCAUAAACACCAGUAAAGCUUCCUUUGGCCUGAAUGACUGAAUGAAUUUGUUCUUUCUCUUUGUCUGUGUAGAUAAAGCACAUUUCCUGUAUGUCAAUGUCAAUCAAAAUAAUUAAAUCAACUUAAACAUUAACUUGCAAUUCUGUCAAAUCUUCUUGUUUUCAUGUUAUAAUGUAAGGCCAUGAAAUACACUCAGCACAUUGAUGACUAGCAGUACUUCAUGUGUCUGUGACAUACAGGAACACACACCAAUGACCUGUCUGUUAAUAAUUGAGGGCUGCAACUAACAGUUAUGUUCAUUGUCCAUUAAUCAUUUGUUAAUUGAAUGUAUGAAUAUAUUAAAGUUUCCCAUCACAAAGCAUAA